rnacentral:rRNA from 1 species
GAUGAACGCUGGCGGCGUGCCUAAUACAUGCAAGUCGAGCGAACGGACGAGAAGCUUGCUUCUCUGAUGUUAGCGGCGGACGGGUGAGUAACACGUGGAUAACCUACCUAUAAGACUGGGAUAACUUCGGGAACCCUGAGCUAAUACCGGAUGAUAUUUUGAACCGCAUGGUUCAAAAGUGAAAGCCGGUCUUGCUGUCACUUAUAGAUGGAUCCGCGCUGCAUUAGCUAGUUGGUAAGGUAACGGCUUACCAAGGCAACGAUGCAUAGCCGACCUGAGAGGGUGAGCGGCCACACUGGAACUGAGACACGGUCCAGACUCCUACGGGAGGCAGCAGUAGGGAAUCUUCCGCAAAGGGCGAAAGCCUGACGGAGCAACGCCGCGUGAGUGAUGAAGGUCUUCGGAUCGUAAAACUCUGUUAUUAGGGAAGAACAUAUGUGUAAGUAACUGUGCACAUCUUGACGGUACCUAAUCAGAAAGCCACGGCUAACUACGUG